UACCGCUUUGGUUGGUGAAAGUGCCUCUUUCCUGAGGAUCUGCUGUCUGCUUUCAGCCUCAGUUGGUGCUUUCCCUUCCAUUUACUCUUCCUCUGUUUACAAUUCCUCUCCUGCUUUCUCCAGAUCCCUCUUCACCACCACAGCCCAGUUAACGCAAUCAAAACUACCAUUCUAAUCGAACUCUGGGUCGCCAUUAAUUUUUUCGAUAACCCAUUUCAUCUCUCUCUCUCUCUCUCUCUCUCUCUCUCUCUCUAGACUGUUGAAUCAUCUAUUACCCAACAGCCAAAGAUGAUGCAGCAGCAAGGCAGCUCCGCCGAUUUGGCCCAGCUCCAGUCCAUCAUGCAGGCCAUCUCGCUUGCUCUUCCUUCCAGCCGCUCUGGCAACUAUCCUGUCGCUAAAUCAGUCGCCUCAGCCGUACAACGCAUGCCAGUUCAUUCUUGAAUUCUCAAGUAGCAAAUGCGAGGUUUCCAGCGGCUUCAGCAAUUCGAGAUGCUGUUAUGAAGGAAUGGUGCAGGUGAUGACAAGAAAUGCUUGACAAGAUAUUCUGCUGCUGGGCGCGGGAUGCUGCUGUAGGUGUCACAAAGAGUAUAACUGAACCUGAUACUGAGCCUGUGGUAACGGUUUACACUGCUGCAUUGUGUCUCAUGUUUCAAAUCUUGAACUGGGAUUUCCGGUACAAUACUUCUGGCAAAAAAGUGGUGUAGAUGUUUUUUCACUUGAGGUUAGAGCAGACAGUUCUUCAACUCGUGGUAAAAGAGGUCUGAGUGUACAUUGGUGCCGUACCUUUGGCACUCUUACCCUAUUAUCCACCUUGAUGUGCGAAGUUAUCAAACUGAUGAGGAGACAUGGAGCUGGGAGGCGCAUGAUAUCUUAUUAGAUACCUCGACCACUCUACUCAUGUUUUUAUUCAUUGACCCCAGAAAAAAAAUUUUUGGAUCUGCCACUGACUUCAGCCAAUGAAUGGUACCGGCGGGAAGGCGAUACUUUCACCUGAAGGGAUAAGUGCUGCAAGCCAAUCUUUUUUCCUUAAUUGCAGAGUAUGAGCUAAGAGGUAAUAAUCUGCAUAAAUAUAAUAAAAUGAGCAUAUAUUGAGGCUUACCUGCUGGAAUUGAGGACAGCAGAUGGAGUGAUGUAGGUUUGGACUGAUUGCUGGAGAUGAAAGGGCAUUGGGAAAUAUGAAGUUUUGGCUGUUGCCAUUGCUGUGGUGUAUGUGAAUUGAGAGGCUGAAGGACUUGUAGAUUUUGAUUCAGGACUAGUCAUUUCCUUCUAUGGAACCAAUAGGAUUUGCAGUUAGGGUGGCUCUACUAUAACUUGGAUUGGGAGGCGAGACAAUGUAAAAUUGGAAAUUUGCUUCCUUCUCACUGUCUUGGCAUGGUGAGAGUUCCAGAGCUUUCCUUGGUAGAUACGAAUUGGAUAUAUUAUUCUCGACUCUGUUGGAUAUAAAUUGAAUAUAUUAUCAGCCAAAUUACUCAGCUUUAGUUGCAUUCCAAUUUCAAUUUCAAUGAAAUCACUAUUGUUAUAUUAUGUUGAAUUUUAGCCUUGUUUUAAAGUAUAAUAAUAUCUAGUUCUACAAUUUAAAUA